rnacentral:rRNA from 1 species
GACAGAGGUGCCGAGCGUUAGGCGGAAUCACUGGGCUUAAAGCGUGUGUAGGCGGACCGUUAAGUACCUUGUGAAAUCCCCCGGCUCAACCGGGGAACGGCUGGGUAUACUGGCGGUCUUGAGCCAUCCAGGGGCAGUCGGAACAGACGGUGGAGCGGUGAAAUGCGUAGAGAUCGGAAAGAACACCAACGGCGAAAGCACUCUGCUGGGCCGACACUGACACUGAGAGACGAAAGCUAGGGGAGCGAAUGGG